UACGUAGGGUGCGAGCGUUGUCCGGAAUUAUUGGGCGUAAAGAGCUCGUAGGCGGUGUGUCGCGUCGGCCGUGAAAACCUGCAGCUUAACUGUGGGCUUGCGGUCGAUACGGGCAUCACUGGAGUUCGGCAGGGGAGACUGGAAUUCCUGGUGUAGCGGUGAAAUGCGCAGAUAUCAGGAGGAACACCCGGUGGCGAAGGCGGGUCUCUGGGCCGAUACUGACGC
rnacentral:rRNA from 1 species